UACGAAGGGUGCAAGCGUUACUCGGAAUUACUGGGCGUAAAGCGUGCGUAGGUGGUUGUUUAAGUCUGUUGUGAAAUCCCCGAGCUCAACUUGGGAAUUGCAAUGGAUACUGGCAGGCUGGAGUAUGGUAGAGGAAGGUGGAAUUCCCGGUGUAGCAGUGAAAUGCGUAGAGAUCGGGAGGAACACCAGUGGCGAAGGCGGCCUUCUGGACCAAUACUGACGCUCAUGCACGAAAGCGUGGGGAGCAAACAGG
rnacentral:rRNA from 1 species